GAGUUUGAUCGUGGCUCAGGAUGAACGCUGGCGGCGUGCUUAACACAUGCAAGUCGAACGAUGAAGCCCAGCUUGCUGGGUGGAUUAGUGGCGAACGGGUGAGUAACACGUGAGUAACCUGCCCUUGACUCUAGGAUAAGCCCGGGAAACUGGGUCUAAUACUGGAUAGGAACGUCUACCGCAUGGUGGAUGUUGGAAAGAAUUUCGGUCAUGGAUGGACUCGCGGCCUAUCAGCUUGUUGGUGAGGUAAUGGCUCACCAAGGCGACGACGGGUAGCCGGCCUGAGAGGGUGACCGGCCACACUGGGACUGAGACACGGCCCAGACUCCUACGGGAGGCAGCAGUGGGGAAUAUUGCACAAUGGCGAAAGCCUGAUGCAGCGACGCCGCGUGAGGGAUGACGGCCUCGGUUGUAACGUACUUCUACGUAGGAAGGAAGACGAAAGUAGACGGUACCGUACG
rnacentral:rRNA from 1 species